GAACAGUUCGUCAACACAUAAAAUCCAUUUCUUCCAUUCAAUAAUUCAUAAAGUUCUCUAAAAGUCAGAAGCAUUCAAUAUACAUAUAAUUAAGAAGAGAAGAUCAAUCAUUAGUCAUGUACUCAAUGAUAAUAGCCUCGUGAUCGCAACGGUGAUGUCGUAAUAGACUCGUCCCCAGGAAUUCUUACCCUUUGUGCUUAACGACAAC
rnacentral:lncRNA from 1 species